rnacentral:rRNA from 1 species
CACGUAGGAGGCGAGCGUUGUCCGGAAUCAUUGGGCGUAAAGAGCGCGCAGGCGGCUUGGCAAGUCGGGUGUGAAAUCCCGGGGCUCAACCCCGUGACUGCAUUCGAUACUGUCAGGCUAGAGGUAGGUAGGGGAGAUCGGAAUUCCUGGUGUAGCGGUGAAAUGCGCAGAUAUCUGGAGGAACACCGGUGGCGAAGGCGGCAUCCUGGACCGGCAUUGACGCUGAGGCGCGAAAGCCAGGGGAGCAAACGGG